AUGAACGCUAGCGGCAGGCUUAACACAUGCAAGUCAGGGGCAGCACUUGUAGCAAUACAUGGUGGCGACCGGCGCAAGGGUGCGUAACGCGUGAGCAACAUGCCCGUAUCAGGGGGAUAAUCCAGGGAAACUUGGUCUAAUACCCCAUAGCAAUUAUUUGAGGCAUCUUAAAUAAUUUAAAGCUUUGGUGGAUACGGAUUGGCUCGCGUGACAUUAGCUAGAUGGUAAGGUAACGGCUUACCAUGGCUACGAUGUCUAGGGGUUCUGAGAGGAAGAUCCCCCACACUGGAACUGAGACACGGUCCAGACUCCUACGGGAGGCAGCAGUGAGGAAUAUUGGACAAUGGAUGGAAAUCUGAUCCAGCCAUGCCGCGUGCAGGAAGACCGGCCCUAUGGGUUGUAAACUGCUUUUGUGUGGGAGCAAUAAGGUCUAUGCGUAGACUGAUGAGAGUACCAUACGAAUAAGCAUCGGCUAACUCCGUG
rnacentral:rRNA from 1 species